UACGGGGGGGGCAAGCGUUGUUCGGAAUUACUGGGCGUAAAGGGCUCGUAGGUGGCCAACUAAGUCAGACGUGAAAUCCCCAGGCUUAACCUGGGAACUGCGUCUGAUACUGGAUGGCUUGAAUUCGGGAGAGGGAUGCAGAAUUCCAGGUGUAGCGGUGAAAUGCGUAGAUAUCUGGAGGAAUACCGGUGGCGAAGGCGGCAUCCUGGACCUAUAUUGACGCUGAGGAGCGAAAGCUAGGGGAGCAAACGGG
rnacentral:rRNA from 1 species